rnacentral:rRNA from 1 species
AUUGAACGCUGGCGGCAUGCCUAACACAUGCAAGUCGAACGGCAGCACAGUGCGUAGCAAUACGUAUGGGUGGCGAGUGGCGGACGGGUGAGGAAUGCAUCGGAAUCUACCCAGUAGCGGGGGAUAACCUGGGGAAACUCAGGCUAAUACCGCAUACGACCUAUGGGUGAAAGCGGGGGACCGUAAGGCCUCGCACUAUUGGAUGAGCCGAUGCCGGAUAGCUAGUUGGUAGGGUAACGGCCUACCAAGGCGACGAUCCGUAGCUGGUCUGAGAGGACGAUCAGCCACACCGGAACUGAGACACGGUCCGGACUCCUACGGGAGGCAGCAGUGGGGAAUAUUGGACAAUGGGGGAAACCCUGAUCCAGCAAUGCCGCGUGUGUGAAGAAGGCC